CACGUAGGGGGCAAGCGUUGUCCGGAUUUAUUGGGCGUAAAGGGUGCGUAGGCGGCUUUCUAAGUCUGAUGUGAAAUCCUGGGGCUCAACCCCAGAACUGCAUUGGAUACUGGAAGGCUAGAGUACUGGAGAGGAAACUGGAAUUUACGGUGUAGCAGUGAAAUGCGUAGAGAUCGUAAGGAAGACCAGUGGCGAAGGCGAGUUUCUGGACAGUAACUGACGCUGAGGAGCGAAAGCGUGGGGAGCGAACAGG
rnacentral:rRNA from 1 species